rnacentral:tRNA from 1 species
UAGCGUAGCGCGCAAAGCCUCGGCUUCGUGAGCCGAAGGUCCCGGGUUCGAUUCCCGG